GCGGCGGGACGACCCGACGCGAUAUCCCACUGGCGGGGACGACUCCG
rnacentral:ncRNA from 1 species